GACGUAGGGCGCGAGCGUUGUCCGGAUUUAUUGGGCGUAAAGAGCUCGUAGGCGGCUCGUUGCGUCAACCGUGAAAACCCGGGGCUUAACUUCGGGCUUGCGGUUGAUACGGGCGGGCUGGAGUUCGGUAGGGGAGACUGGAAUUCCUGGUGUAGCGGUGAAGUGCGCAGAUAUCAGGAGGAACACCGGUGGCGAAGGCGGCUCACUUGUCCGAAACUGACGCUGAGGUGCGAAAGCCAGGGGAGCAAACGGG
rnacentral:rRNA from 1 species